UUAAUUGCAGAACACAUGUUGCUUUCUACGGCUAAUUGUUAAAACUGCGAGGAUAAUAGAUGAUAACUCCUGACCAGUUUUACAAUUCAUUUUUCUACUUUACGUCUAACUAUGAAAACUCUCCUAGUUUUUCUUCUUCUUUCCAUUAAUGUCGCCUUCGCUUGUGAUUCUGAUGGAGGCUUUGGGGCAUGGCUUGACCGCUAUUUUUUCUGGCUCAACCCGUUCUGGUGGUCAAGUUCUUUGAAAGAUAGCAAUCCUGGAACAUCGGGGAAUGACUUGCAGUCGGAAAUAAUGGCUUCUGAGAUAGGAAAUGUGUCUUAAGAUUAAGUCAUUGGUCCAGCAUGCAUGAUCUGCGUAGGCCUUCUCCAAAACUGUAGAACUACUUCAAAUAUUGCAUAACUUUUAAAAACUGAACCAAUAAAAUUAUUGGACAUAUG